rfam:Clostridium sp. CAG:75 genomic scaffold, scf292
GCAGCUGUAGUAUAUCGGUAGUACAUUAGCUUCCCAAGCUAAGGGGGCGGGUUCGACUCCCGUCAGCUGCU